rnacentral:rRNA from 1 species
UACGUAGGGGGCAAGCGUUGUCCGGAUUUAUUGGGCGUAAAGAGCGUGUAGGCGGCUUUGCAAGUCCGUUGUGAAAACUCGAGGCUCAACCUCGAGACGCCGGUGGAAACUGCAAAGCUAGAGUCCGGAAGAGGAGAGUGGAAUUCCGUGGUCGUGAGCGGUGAAAUGCGCAGAUAUCAGGAAGAACACCCGUGGCGAAGGCGGCUCCUCUGGGACGGUACUGACGGCUGAGACGCGAAAGCGUGGGGAGCGAACAGGG